ensembl:piRNA 21ur-8835 ncRNA
UUCUCCGAUAUUAUGCAUGUA